rnacentral:rRNA from 1 species
UACGUAGGGGGCAAGCGUUGUCCGGAAUCAUUGGGCGUAAAGAGCGUGUAGGCGGCCCGGUAAGUCCGCUGUGAAAGUCCAGGGCUCAACCCUGGGAUGCCGGUGGAUACUGUCGGGCUCGAGUCCGGAAGAGGAGUGUGGAAUUCCGUGGUGUAGCGGUGGAAUGCGCAGAUAUCAGGAGGAACACCGAUAGCGAAGGCAGCUCGCUGGGACGGUACUGACGCUGAGGUGCGAAAGCGUGGGGAGCGAACAGG